rnacentral:rRNA from 1 species
AGCAGCCGCGGUAAUUCCAGCUCCAAUAGCGUAUAUUAAAGUUGUUGCAGUUAAAAAGCUCGUAGUUGAAUUUCGGGAUCAAUGUUUCGGUCAUGCCCUUGGUAUGUACUGAUAUUAUUGGUUUCUCACCUUCUAAAGAACCGUAAUGCCAUUAAUUUGGUGUCACGGGGAAUUAGGACUGUUACCUUGAAAAAAUUAGAGUGUUUAAAGCAGGCUCACGCUUGAAUACAUUAGCAUGGAAUAAUGAAAUAGGACAUCCGAUUCUAUUUUGUUGGUUUCUAGGAUCGAUGUAAUGAUUAAUAGGGAUAGUUGGGGGCAUUAGUAUUCAAUUGUCAGAGGUGAAAUUCUUGGAUUUAUUGAAGACUAACUACUGCGAAAGCAUUUGCCAAGGAUGUUUUCAUUAAUCAAGAACGAAAGUUAGGGGAUCGAAGACGAUCAGAUACCGUCGUAGUCUUAACUAUAAACUAUGCCGACUAGGGAUCGGAUGAUGUUAAUUUUUUAAUGACUCA